GUGCCAGCAGCCGCGGUAAUUCCAGCUCCAAUAGCGUAUAUUAAAAUUGUUGCGUCUAAAAAGCUCGUAGUUUGAAAACUUGCCUUGACUUGCAAUAGGUCUAUAUAGGCCACCGUUUGUCGAGCGCAAAUAUAGAUGACUGUUUUUGCCGGCUUCAUUGUUUGGCUUAUAAGAGUUAUCAAAUAUCACUUUGAUUAAAUUAGAGUGCUUAAAGCAAGUGUAUUACUUGAAUAUAAAUGCAUGGAAUGAUGGAAUAUGUUAUUGUUCUAUUUGUUGGUUUUGGAACGAUGAAAUGAUUGAAAGGAACUGAUGGGGGCAUUCGUAUUGUUGUGAGAGAGGUGAAAUUCUUAGACCACAGCAAGACGAACUACUGCGAAAGCAUUUGCCAAGAAUGUUUUCAUUGAUCAAGAACGAAAGUUAGAGGUUCGAAGGCGAUCAGAUACCGCCCUAGUUCUAACCAUAAACUAUGCCAACUAGCAAUUUGCUUACGUAUGUUUUACGACUAAGUGAGAGGCCACGGGAAACCAAAGUAGGGUUAUGGGGGAAGUAUGGUUGCAAAGCUGAAACUUAAAGGAAUUGACGGAAGA
rnacentral:rRNA from 1 species